rnacentral:rRNA from 1 species
UACGUAGGGGGCAAGCGUUGUCCGGAUUUAUUGGGCGUAAAGAGCGUGUAGGCGGCCAGGUGGGUCAGCUGUGAAAACUCGAGGCUCAACCUCGAGACGUCGGUUGAAACCAUCUGGCUAGAGUCCGGAAGAGGAGAGUGGAAUUCCUGGUGUAGCGGUGAAAUGCGCAGAUAUCAGGAAGAACACCCGUGGCGAAGGCGGCUCUCUGGGACGGUACUGACGCUGAGACGCGAAAGCGUGGGGAGCGAACAGG